UACGUAGGUGGCGAGCGUUGUCCGGAAUUACUGGGUGUAAAGCGCGUGUAGGCGGGAGGCCAAGUCUGUGGUGAAAUCGCUCGGCUUAACUGGGCGGGGUCCAUGGAAACUGGUCACCUGGAGGUCGGUAGAGGCAAGUGGAAUUCCCGGUGUAGUGGUGAAAUGCGUAGAGAUCGGGAGGAACACCAGUGGCGAAGGCGGCUUGCUGGGCCGGACCUGACGCUGAGAGACGAAAGCUAGGGGAGCGAAUGGG
rnacentral:rRNA from 1 species